AGAAAGGUGUUUAUCUCGUAUCUGUUUUCAUGGAACACUUGCUUGAACCAUGCUAAAGACACACAAUCCUACUGAUGGACAACUGUAGUGUUUGAAAUGAGAGGUACGCAGAGUCACAUCCAGCUUUUCUGGGAACCCAAACUCAAGACCUCAUGAUGAGCAUCAAAGAAGGCCCAUUCAGCCCAAGCUAUAUAGUAGAAUCCUUUUAAAAGACCAACCAAUAAUAAUAAAUAAUGCUUGCCUUCCACUCUG
ensembl:lincRNA